GAUGAACGCUGGCGGCGUGCCUAAUACAUGCAAGUCGAGCGAAGCGGGGACGGGUGAGUAACACGUGGAUAACCUACUAUAAGACUGGGAUAACUUCGGGAAACCGGAGCUAAACCGAAUACUUCUAGAAGGAUCAGAGCUGCAUUCGCGGGUUUGUAAGGUAACGGCUUACCAAGGCACCGAUGCAUAGCCGACCUGAGAGGGUGAUCGGCCAAACGGGAACUGAUACACGGUCCAGACUCCUACGGGAGGCAGCAGUAGGGAAUCUGCCGCAAUGGGCGAAAGCCUGACGGAGCAACGCCGCGUGAGUGAUGAAGGUCUUCGGAUCGUAAAACUCUGGUAUUAGGGAAGCGGUACCUAAUCAGAAAGCCACGGCUAACUACGGGCCAGCAGCCGCGGUAAUAC
rnacentral:rRNA from 1 species